rnacentral:rRNA from 1 species
GACGAACGCUGGCGGCGUGCUUAACACAUGCAAGUCGAACGGAAAGGCCCUGCUUUUGUGGGGUGCUCGAGUGGCGAACGGGUGAGUAACACUUGAGUAACCUGCCCUUGACUUUGGGAUAACUUCAGGAAACUGGGGCUAAUACCGGAUAGGAGCUCCUGCUGCAUGGUGGGGGUUGGAAAGUUUCGGCGGUUGGGGAUGGACUCGCGGCUUAUCAGCUUGUUGGUGGGGUAGUGGCUUACCAAGGCUUUGACGGGUAGCCGUCCUGCGAGGGUGACCGGACAAAUUGGAACGGAGAUACGGCCCAGACUCCUACGGGAGGCAGCAGUGGAGAAUAUUGCACAAUGGGCGGAAGCCUGACGCAGCAACGCCGCGUGCGGGAUGACGGCCUUCGGGUUGUAAACCGCUUUCGCCUGUGACGAAGCGUGAGUGACGGUAAUGGGUAAAGAAGCACCGGCUAACUACGUG